GCUGGGUGCGGUGGCACACACCUGUAAUCCCAGUGGCUCGGGAGGCUGAGGCAGGAGGAUCACAAGUUCAAAGCCAGCCUCAGCAAAAGUGAGGCCCUAAGCAACUGAGUGACACCCUGUCUCUA
rnacentral:sRNA from 1 species